AGCGCCAGCGAGGUAUACAGAAUGAGCUCUAAUAGCAUUCAAAAUUUUCAUUCGGAGACCUCGAGGUGAGGUUUUCUAGUCUCUACCAGAUCGACCAGAGACGGAUUUGGACUUUGUUGGAGUUCUUACUACUCCAGUUACAGUGUAGAGCCUACGAAAGGUGAUUCUUUCGAGGGUAUACGGAGAUUGAGAGGUUUUCAGCCAUUUGAGGAAACUGAACAUUCUUUCUUGUGCAAUAUUUUAGCUUUUUCUGCGUUGGGUUUUCUUUUUCUGAUCCUGAAUGUGUCACGUUGAAUGAGCUGAUUGUUCAGAUGUCUAGUAGCUUCAGGAGUGACUAUGACUCUUCAUUCAAUAUUGAUGAACUCUUGCACUUAGGAAUGAUGUGUACUGAGCUGAGGAGAGAGAAGGACAUGCUAAGAGAAUCCCAGUCCCAAAGCACUGAACUGAUCAAA